rnacentral:rRNA from 1 species
GGUGAAAAGCCUCCCCGCCGAAAGCCCAAGGUUUCCUCGCGCAACGUUCAUCGGCGCAGGGUGAGUCGGCCCCUAAGGCGAGGCAGAAAUGCGUAGUCGAUGGGAAGCAGGUUAAUAUUCCUGCACUUUUCUACAGUGCGAUGUGGGGACGGAGAAGGUUAGGUCUACCAGGCGUUGGUUGUCCUGGGGAAAGGAGGUAGGCAUGAUUCUUAGGCAAAUCCGGGAAUCUCUAUGCCGAGCACCGAGACGAGUCCUAUGAGGACGAAGUGACUGAGACCACGCUUCCAGGAAAAGCCACUAAGCUUCAGCUGUAGAAAAACCGUACCGCAAACCGACACUGGUAGGCAGGGUGAGAAUCCCAAGGCGCUUGAGAGAACUCGGGUGAAGGAACUAGGCAAAAUGGCACCGUAACUUCGGGAGAAGGUGCGCCCUUUGGUGUGGUCACGUGCGUGACUGAGCAUCGAAGGGUCGCAGUAACCUGGCCGCUGCGACUGUUUAUCAAAAACACAGCACUCUGCAAACACGAAAGUGGACGUAUAGGGUGUGACGCCUGCCCGGUGCUGGAAGGUUAAUUGAUGGGGUCAGCCGCAAGGCGAAGCUCUUGAUCGAAGCCCCAGUAAACGGCGGCCGUAACUAUAACGGUCCUAAGGUAGCGAAAUUCCUUGUCGGGUAAGUUCCGACCUGCACGAAUGGCGUAACGACAGCGGCGCUGUCUCCACCCGAGACUCAGUGAAAUUGAAAUCGCUGUGAAGAUGCAGCGUUCCCGCGGCAAGACGGAAAGACCCCGUGAACCUUUACUAUAGCUUUACAUUGAACGUUGAGUUCUUCUGUGUAGGAUAGGUGGGAGGCUAUGAAACCGAGACGCUAGUUUCGGUGGAGCCAUCCUUGAAAUACCACCCUGAAGUGCUUGACGUUCUAACCUAGGUCCGUAAUCCGGAUCGGGGACCAUGUAUGGUGGGUAGUUUGACUGGGGCGGUCUCCUCCCAAAGAGUAACGGAGGAGCACGAAGGUACGCUCAGCGCGGUCGGACAUCGCGCACUGUGUGCAAAGGCAUAAGCGUGCUUGACUGCGAGAUCGACGGAUCAAGCAGGUACGAAAGUAGGUCUUAGUGAUCCGGUGGUUCUGUAUGGAAGGGCCAUCGCUCAACGGAUAAAAGGUACUCCGGGGAUAACAGGCUGAUACCGCCCAAGAGUUCAUAUCGACGGCGGUGUUUGGCACCUCGAUGUCGGCUCAUCACAUCCUGGGGCUGUAGCCGGUCCCAAGGGUAUGGCUGUUCGCCAUUUAAAGUGGUACGCGAGCUGGGUUCAGAACGUCGUGAGACAGUUCGGUCCCUAUCUGUCGUGGGCGUUGGAGAUUUGAGGGGGGCUGCUCCUAGUACGAGAGGACCGGAGUGGACGUUCCGCUGGUGUUCGGGUUGUCAUGCCCAUGGCAUUGCCCGGUAGCUACGAACGGAAGUGAUAACCGCUGAAAGCAUCUAAGCGGGAAGCACGCCCCAAGAUGAGAUCUCCCGAGAGCUAGACUCUCCUUAAGGCACCAUCAAGACUAGGUGGUUGAUAGGCGCGGUGUGGAAGUGCAGCAAUGCAUUGAGCUUACGCGUACUAAUGAGCCGUGAGGCUUGACC